rnacentral:rRNA from 1 species
UACGGAGGGGGCUAGCGUUGUUCGGAAUUACUGGGCGUAAAGCGCGCGUAGGCGGACCUGCAAGUCCGCCGUCAAAUCCCAGGGCUCAACCCUGGACAGGCGGUGGAAACUACCAAGCUGGAGUACGGUAGGGGCAGAGGGAAUUUCCGGUGGAGCGGUGAAAUGCGUAGAGAUGUGGAGGAACACCGAUGGCGAAGGCAGCCUUCUGGGCCAACACUGACGCUCAUGCACGAAAGCGUGGGGAGCAAACAGG